rnacentral:rRNA from 1 species
GACGAACGCUGGCGGCGUGCCUAAUACAUGCAAGUCGAGCGAAGUUUUUCUGGUGCUUGCACCGGAAAAACUUAGCGGCGAACGGGUGAGUAACACGUAAAGAACCUGCCUUAUAGACUGGGACAACUAUUGGAAACGAUAGCUAAUACCGGAUAACCGCAUUAACUGCAUGGGUGAUGUUUGAAAGUUGGUUUUGCUAACACUAUGAGAUGUCUUUGCGGUGCAUUAGCUAGUUGGUGGGGUAAAGGCCUACCAAGGCGGCGAGGCAUAGCCGACCCGAGAGAGUGAUCGGCGACAUUGGAACGGGGACACGGACAAGACUCCUGCGGGAGGGAGCAGUAGGGUACGUGCCGCAAUGGGCGGAAGCCUGACGGAGCAGGGGCGCGUGAGUGACGAAGGCUUUCGGUGCGUAAUGCUGGGUUGUGAGGGAAGAAUGGCUGUGGAGUGACGAUACGCAGGAGAGACGGUACCUAACAAGAAAGCCACGGCUAACUACGUG